GAUGAACGCUGGCGGCGUGCUUAACACAUGCAAGUCGAACGAUGAAGCCUAGCUUGCUAGGUGGAUUAGUGGCGAACGGGUGAGUAAUACGUGAGUAACCUACCUUUAACUCUGGGAUAAGCCUGGGAAACUGGGUCUAAUACCGGAUACGACCAAUCUCCGCAUGGGGUGUUGGUGGAAAGCGUUAUGUAGUGGUUAUAGAUGGGCUCACGGCCUAUCAGCUUGUUGGUGAGGUAACGGCUCACCAAGGCGACGACGGGUAGCCGGCCUGAGAGGGUGACCGGCCACACUGGGACUGAGACACGGCCCAGACUCCUACGGGAGGCAGCAGUGGGGAAUAUUGCACAAUGGGCGCAAGCCUGAUGCAGCGACGCCGCGUGAGGGAUGACGGCCUUCGGGUUGUAAACCUCUGUUAGCAGGGAAGAAGAGAGAUUGACGGUACCUGCAGAGAAAGCGCCGGCUAACUACGUGCCAGCAGCCGCGGUAAUACGUAGGGCGCGAGCGUUGUCCGGAAUUAUUGGGCGUAAAGAGCUUGUAGGCGGUUUGUCGCGUCUGCUGUGAAAGGCCGGGGCUUAACUCCGUGUAUUGCAGUGGGUACGGGCAGACUAGAGUGCAGUAGGGGAGACUGGAAUUCCCUGGUGUAGCGGUGGAAUGCGCAGAUAUCAGGAGGAACACCGAUGGCGAAGGCAGGUCUCUGGGCUGUAACUGACGCUGAGAAGCGAAAGCAUGGGGAGCGAACAGGAUUACAUACCCUGCUAGUCCAUGCCGUAAACGUUGGGCACUAUGUGUGGGGAACAUUCCACGUUUUCCGCGCCGUAGCUAACGCAUUAAGUGCCCCGCCUGGGGAGUACGGCCGCAAGGCUAAAACUCAAAGAAAUUGACGGGGGCCCGCACAAGCGGCGGAGCAUGCGGAUUAAUUCGAUGCAACGCGAAGAACCUUACCAAGGCUUGACAUAUACUGGACCGCAUCAGAGAUGGUGUUUCCCUUCGGGGCUGGUAUACAGGUGGUGCAUGGUUGUCGUCAGCUCGUGUCGUGAGAUGUUGGGUUAAGUCCCGCAACGAGCGCAACCCUCGUUCUAUGUUGCCAGCACGUUAUGGUGGGGACUCAUAGGAGACUGCCGGGGUCAACUCGGAGGAAGGUGGGGAUGACGUCAAAUCAUCAUGCCCCUUAUGUCUUGGGCUUCACGCAUGCUACAAUGGCCGGUACAGAGGGUUGCGAUACUGUGAGGUGGAGCUAAUCCCUAAAAGCCGGUCUCAGUUCGGAUUGGGGUCUGCAACUCGACCCCAUGAAGUCGGAGUCGCUAGUAAUCGCAGAUCAGCAACGCUGCGGUGAAUACGUUCCCGGGCCU
rnacentral:rRNA from 1 species